GCCUCUCUGCUCUCUCUAAGUCUACAAGAAUACACAGAAGGAAAUACUUGGUAGCCACUUUCACUCAUGAUUUUGGCCGAUUUAGGGUUGGUUUUCGAAGAUGGUGAAGUUGAAGAAAAGAUAGAUUAAGGUAAGAUCUAUCCAUUUUUGUUGGUUUUGUUCACAUGCAUGAUGUUUUUGUUCUGUUUGAUUAGUUCCUAAGUGUGUAUUCUAUGUUGUUUUAGGCAUUAUUUCAGCACUUGGAGGAGUCAUUUGGAGUUUCUGGAGUAGGAUUUGCCGUGCAAAGUGAAGUACGAAGGGGGAGAUCAAG
rnacentral:lncRNA from 1 species